rnacentral:rRNA from 1 species
GCCCGGAGAUAGCUGGUUCUCCCCGAAAUAGCUUUAGGGCUAGCCUCAAGGUGAGAGAUACGGAGGUAGAGCACUGAAUGUCCUAGGGGGUAUUGCACCUACCGAAGACUAUCAAACUCCGAAUGCCGUCAUCUUAUACUUGGGAGUCAGACUGUGGGUGAUAAGAUUCAUAGUCGAAAGGGCAACAGCCCAGAUCGUCAGCUAAGGUCCCUAAAUGUAAGUUAAGUGGUAAAGGAUGUGGGAUUGCACAGACAACCAGGAUGUUGGCUUAGAAGCAGCCACUCAUUCAAAGAGUGCGUAAUAGCUCACUGGUCGAGUGAUCCUGCGCCGAAGAUUUCCGGGGCUAAAACUUACUACCGAAGCUACGGCAUCA